AUAGCGUAUAUUAAAGUUGUUGCAGUUAAAAAGCUCGUAGUUGAACCUUUGGCCUGGCUGGCAGGUCCGCCUCACCGCGUGCACUUGUCCGGCCGGGCCUUUUCUUCUGGAGAACCGCAUGCCCUUCACUGGGUGUGUUGGGGACCAGGACUUUUACUUUGAAAAAAUUAGAGUGUUCAAAGCAGGCCUUUGCUCGAAUACGUUAGCAUGGAAUAAUAGAAUAGGACGUGCGGUCCUAUUUUGUUGGUUUCUAGGACCGCCGUAAUGAUUAAUAGGGACAGUCGGGGGCAUCAGUAUUCAAUUGUCAGAGGUGAAAUUCUUGGAUUUAUUGAAGACUAACUACUG
rnacentral:rRNA from 1 species